rnacentral:lncRNA from 1 species
GCCUGGCGAGGCUGGGGGUGGUGCCACACUUCCCCCCACCACCUGGUGUCUAGGGGCCAGCCCUCCAUCCCGCGAGGGAAAGGGCUGCCUUCCGCACCGCGAUAGGUUCGUGGCUGUGGCCCACGCGAGCCCCCUCAGGCCGUCCGAAGGACCGACGGACCUUAGCAGGGCCCUUGCCCCGCAGAGCUCUAAACAGCGCGGGGCGUGAGCCGGAGCAUCCGCGUUCCGACCGUUUUUGCGAACAGAAGGUGGAGGCAGAUUGCUUUGCGCACGUGCUCGGGAAGCUGAAGGGAUGAGUGCGCAGGUGCGUCCUCCCCCCUACUCCAGCCUUACCUGAUGGGUCAUUCCUUUCGCCCCCUACUCACCAAGCUAUCCCUUAGAUUUGUGGGGCCGGUAACUCAGCUUAGGACGAGGGAACUCGCAGAUGAGGGACCUGUAUAGGGACUGAUGGGUGUAAGAGGGCAGGGGUGGGCAAAGGCUAAGGAAAGAGGAGAACAUUGGAAUCCUUUGAAACUUUGGGAUAGGGCCCAACAGGAAUCCCACUUCUGCUUUGUCCUGGAAGAUCUGACCCAGGCCAUGGAAAUGGGUUAAAUGUGGACGUACACCGCCAUUGGCCACCACCCAUAUGUGGAGUGCAGGCAACCUUCUAUAUCCCUACAUACAACUUCCUCUCUGACUUCAUGGCCACAGGGCCCAUUUUCACUACUGACAUUCUAAGGGGAUCCAUGGUGGUCCUAAGAGGGUGGAUUCAGCCUUAUCCCGACCAUUCCAGAUAAAUCCAAUCCAAGGAAGAACAGACUGCCUACCACAACAACACAUCUCCAAUUAACCCUCCCCACCAAGUGCCCAACAAAGAAUAACUUGUUCCUUUCUUGGGGUAGAUGCAGUCCUGCAAGGUGCCACCAUAGUUCAACCAAUAGGGGUGAAUUUCAGACCCCAUUAGGGUCUAGUAGAGCACGGGACCUACAGAGCCCAGGUGGCACCCUCACUUUUCCAAACCCCCUUCUUGUAUGGAAGAUCACCUAUUUCUUGAGUUGUAGAGUCCAGUCUGCAUCAUCCAACUCCCCCAAGAUCCACUUCCCUUUUUUUUAACCUCCUCUCCCAACUCCCCACCUCAGCUUGGCCACUGUGCAAGACCCCAGAGCUGGGUGUCUGCAGACAGCACAGGACAGGAAAGCAGUCUUGGCCCCAGACCCCUGCCAGUGCACCCUGAUCUUCCUU